rnacentral:lncRNA from 1 species
UUUGGUAUCAGAGCGACGAUAAGAUUUUAGGGUCUUAUCAUUUGGUAUCAGAGCCUACGAUAAGACCUUUAGGGUCUUAUCAUUUGGUAUCAGAGUGACGAUAAGACUUUAGGGUCUUAUCAAUUGGUAUCAAAGCAACGAUCCUUGGCGCAGCUUGCCUACAAGGCAACUCUUUCUUCACCGUUGUCACUGUUUCCCUAGCCAGUGACCUUCGACCACCGCUCGACCUCCUCGCUGCCCCAUCUCGUUCAAAAAAAAAAAAAAAAAGAAAAAAAAAAAGAAAAGAAGAAACACGAGAGGAAGAAGAAGCCGCAGCCACCCUUGCGUCCCCUGCUUCCGGCCAGCCCAACCGUCGCUGUUGCUCUUCGGCCAGCG